CAAAGCGUUCAUUAAAGUCGAGUUGGCUUAGGGAUACGUUCGUUGGGUAGGGGAGCGUUCUGUAAGCCUGUGAAGGUGUGUCGUGAGGCAUGCUGGAGGUAUCAGAAGUGCGAAUGCUGACAUAAGUAACGAUAAAGCGGGUGAAAAGCCCGCUCGCCGGAAGACCAAGGGUUCCUGUCCAACGUUAAUCGGGGCAGGGUGAGUCGACCCCUAAGGCGAGGCCGAAAGGCGUAGUCGAUGGGAAACGGGUUAAUAUUCCCGUACUUGGUGUUACUGCGAAGGGGGGACGGAGAAGGCUAUGUUGGCCGGGCGACGGUUGUCCCGGUUUAAGCGUGUAGGUGUGUGUUCCAGGUAAAUCCGGUUCACUUUAACACUGAGGCGUGACGACGAGGCACUACGGUGCUGAAGCAACAAAUGCCCUGCUUCCAGGAAAAGCCUCUAAGCAUCAGGUAACAUCAAAUCGUACCCCAAACCGACACAGGUGGUCAGGUAGAGAAUACCAAGGCGCUUGAGAGAACUCGGGUGAAGGAACUAGGCAAAAUGGUGCCGUAACUUCGGGAGAAGGCACGCUGACACGUAGGUGAAGUGAUUUACUCAUGGAGCUGAAGUCAGUCGAAGAUACCAGCUGGCUGCAACUGUUUAUUAAAAACACAGCACUGUGCAAACACGAAAGUGGACGUAUACGGUGUGACGCCUGCCCGGUGCCGGAAGGUUAAUUGAUGGGGUCAGCGCAAGCGAAGCUCCUGAUCGAAGCCCCGGUAAACGGCGGCCGUAACUAUAACGGUCCUAAGGUAGCGAAAUUCCUUGUCGGGUAAGUUCCGACCUGCACGAAUGGCGUAAUGAUGGCCAGGCUGUCUCCACCCGAGACUCAGUGAAAUUGAACUCGCUGUGAAGAUGCAGUGUACCCGCGGCAAGACGGAAAGACCCCGUGAACCUUUACUAUAGCUUGACACUGAACAUUGAGCCUUGAUGUGUAGGAUAGGUGGGAGGCUUUGAAGUGUGGACGCCAGUCUGCAUGGAGCCGACCUUGAAAUACCACCCUUUAAUGUUUGAUGUUCUAACGUGGACCCGUAAUCCGGGUUGCGGACAGUGUCUGGUGGGUAGUUUGACUGGGGCGGUCUCCUCCUAAAGAGUAACGGAGGAGCACGAAGGUUGGCUAAUCCUGGUCGGACAUCAGGAGGUUAGUGCAAUGGCAUAAGCCAGCUUGACUGCGAGCGUGACGGCGCGAGCAGGUGCGAAAG
rnacentral:rRNA from 2 species